rnacentral:lncRNA from 1 species
GCAAAAUAAAACAACUAAAAUGCAUAAUUAACUAAAUUAGAUAGGAAUUUAGUAACGACAAAAGGACCACAAAUUGAAAGAACCGAAAAUUAAACAAGUGGAGCUCGAUUGUCAACAUUAAAAUUAGAUUUUUGUAAAACUUGAAAAUCCAAAGCACAAAGCAAGGUUGGCCAUGCAAGUUUAGCAACCAAGGAUCAUGGCAACACCCACUCACGGGCAGCCCCGUGUGGGACAAGACAGCAACACAGAGACGCAUAACAACAAAUAAUGGCACCCAAUAUGAAAGACAUAUUAUAUCCUAGAAAGCAAUGUGCAACAAAAGUCAUGGCAACCAUUUGAACAAAAGCCGCACAAAAACUAUGAGCAGCAAACCAGCUGGCGAACAACCAGAAAACCAGCUCGGAGCUUUUAGCUAACUUGAGCAGCUGUAAAUGCUACAUAUUCCCAAGUACAACCAAAAAGCCUAACAAAUAAAUAUGUCAGGUGGUUUUGGUUCCAUAAUCCUUGAGGUUGGUCUAGGAGUAGUUACUUUUAAGCACAACUUGAGAAUAGGAAUAGUAGACAAGGCAACUUUUUGAGUAUGUUGAACCUUUUAAAGCAAGAGCUCGGUCUUGUCAAAAAAAAACUUUUUUCACUGCACUUGAGUCAUGGGUAGAACCCUUAAAACUUGAUAUAACCAAAAUACUAGAAAAUUUCGAGACCUUUUCCUUUCCUUUCACCGUAAUAGGUGAUGGAGUAUUCUUCGAAUAGCAAGGAGCAGAAGAGGGACAAUCCUUCCUUUUUGGCAAUUCCCUCCAUUCAAACCUGGGCUUAGAUUUCAUUUCCUCCUUUAAUUUUCCCCUCACGAGGCUUUAGGGAUAAAGUGGAAUUGGAAUGACCAUAGGUUUUGCAAAGCAUACAUUUCUGCGGCUGCUAAGGAAUAUCAGUAUGAAUUUCAUAAGGAGCAUAAUUCUGAAUUUGAGCUUUAAAAGACUUAGGUAACUGAGUUGUGACUAUAAUAUCAAUAUAAACUCUAGCAAAAGAGAGUUUAUUGCCAAAUUUAGUAGCAUUAUCAAUAAAUAGAGGUUUGCCAAAAUGACUAGCAAGAUAGGCAAACCCAUCAUUGUGCCAAAGUGGGAGUGGGACAUUAUAAAAAUUGACCCAGAUAAGAACAAUUGUAGGAUCACAUUUAAGAAUAUCCAUACCCGCUUGCCCUCUUUGGAGGAUCAAAAGAGAUUUACCAAAGUAAGUAUGCCCACGAGCAGCAAUUGGAAUAAGGUCUUCCUCCGUCUUGAAACAGAAGAAAUAAAGGCCAUUUCCUUUAAAAUUACACCUUUGCUACAUUAUCACCCCAAAUCUGUUUUGACCAAAAGGUAGCAUAAUGAAUAGACUUUUUCCCUCUAAUAAAAUAGCCCACGGUAGAAAGAGACCAAGAAGUGAUCAUGGGUUGUGAGAUUUCAGAAGGUAUAACAACAUAUCAUGAU